rnacentral:rRNA from 1 species
ACGCUGUCGGCGUGCUUAACACAUGCAAGUCGAACGGAAAGGCCCUGCUUUUGUGGGGUGCUCGAGUGGCGAACGGGUGAGUAACACGUGAGUAACCUGCCCUUGACUUUGGGAUAACUUCAGGAAACUGGGGCUAAUACCGGAUAGGAGCUCCUGCUGCAUGGUGGGGGUUGGAAAGUUUCGGCGGUUGGGGAUGGACUCGCGGCUUAUCAGCUUGUUGGUGGGGUAGUGGCUUACCAAGGCUUUGACGGGUAGCCGGCCUGAGAGGGUGACCGGCCACAUUGGGACUGAGAUACGGCCCAGACUCCUACGGGAGGCAGCAGUGGGGAAUAUUGCACAAUGGGCGGAAGCCUGAUGCAGCAACGCUGCGUGCGGGAUGACGGCCUUCGGGUUGUAAACCGCUUUCGCCUGUGACGAAGCGUGAGUGACGGUAAUGGGUAAAGAAGCACCGGCUAACUACGUGCCAGCAGCCGCGGUGAUACGUAGGGUGCGAGCGUUGUCCGGAUUUAUUGGGCGUAAAGGGCUCGUAGGUGGUUGAUCGCGUCGGAAGUGUAAUCUUGGGGCUUAACCCUGAGCGUGCUUUCGAUACGGGUUGACUUGAGGAAGGUAGGGGAGAAUGGAAUUCCUGGUGGAGCGGUGGAAUGCGCAGAUAUCAGGAGGAACACCAGUGGCGAAGGCGGUUCUCUGGGCCUUUCCUGACGCUGAGGAGCGAAAGCGUGGGGAGCGAACAGGCUUAGAUACCCUGGUAGUCCACGCUGUAAACGGUGGGUACUAGGUGUGGGGUCCAUUCCACGGGUUCCGUGCCGUAGCUAACGCUUUAAGUACCCCGCCUGGGGAGUACGGCCGCAAGGCUAAAACUCAAAGGAAUUGACGGGGCCCCGCACAAGCGGCGGAGCAUGCGGAUUAAUUCGAUGCAACGCGUAGAACCUUACCUGGGUUUGACAUGGAUCGGGAGUGCUCAGAGAUGGGUGUGCCUCUUUUGGGGUCGGUUCACAGGUGGUGCAUGGCUGUCGUCAGCUCGUGUCGUGAGAUGUUGGGUUAAGUCCCGCAACGAGCGCAACCCUUGUUCACUGUUGCCAGCACGUUAUGGUGGGGACUCAGUGGAGACCGCCGGGGUCAACUCGGAGGAAGGUGGGGAUGACGUCAAGUCAUCAUGCCCCUUAUGUCCAGGGCUUCACGCAUGCUACAAUGGCUGGUACAGAGAGUGGCGAGCCUGUGAGGGUGAGCGAAUCUCGGAAAGCCGGUCUCAGUUCGGAUUGGGGUCUGCAACUCGACCUCAUGAAGUCGGAGUCGCUAGUAAUCGCAGAUCAGCAACGCUGCGGUGAAUACGUUCCCGGG